UUCCAGGAUUGGGGAGCAUGCCAGUGUGGAUGGAGGGGAGAGGUCAGGGGGUGAAGAUGGGGCGGCCACACGGGGCCUGUGGACCACUGCCAGGACCUUGUCUUUUACUCUGGGUGACCUGGAUCCCCAGGAGGGUGUGAAGCAGAGGGGAAACACGACCUGGCUUCCUCCGGGUAGGGAGGAAUGGCAGGAUGGGGGACACGGUUUGAAAGACACGGCAAUCAUCCAAGCAAGCAUUUUGGUGACUCACACCAGGGUGGGGCUUUGGAGGGGGGAGAGGGAGUGAAGUGAUAGGAUCCUUCUGCAGUCCAUGGGUGAGAAAGAGAGGAGUCAGUGAGGACUGGAAGGCUUUUGGCCUGCGGCCCUGGGAAGACAGAGGUGGUGUGUUCCGCAAUGAAGCUGCAGGAGGGGCGGGGUCACGCAGGGCGGAGAAGAAGUUCAGUGUCCUACCUGGAGCUCUUGAGUUGCCCAUUAGGCAUGUCGAGCCACAGCUGGAUAUUCAACCCUGAGUUCAGGUUGGACAGCAAGUAAAGGUUCAGCUGAAAAGGGGUUUUGCCUACUUUGAAGCAAAAUGUUUGAAAAGCUUUGAUCUUGAAUAAUCUCAUUCUACUGAUGAGAAGACUGGGACCCAGAAAGGAGAGAAAAAAAAAAAGAUGGUCCCAGACUCAGGCAGACCUGACUCUGGCUGAGUGCCUUACGUGGACAGGAAGAGCACAGGACCCCGCACAUCAUAGGUGUUCUGGGGCCCCCGAGCCUGCUGGACACAUGAAAUAAACCUAAGGAACAUCUUUGGGCCUUAUUUUCUGCACCUGUGACCUCAAUGCUCUCCACCGACAUGUACACAGAACCUCUCAACCGCGUGGUGAGAGGACAAACCUGAGGCUCAGAGAGAUAACGUCACUGGCCCCAGGUCACACAGCCAGGAGGUGGAGGAGCCAAGAUUCGAGUCAAGAUCUGUUUGAUUCCAGAACCAAGGCUGCCUUAGUGGGCCAGUGGAGCACCCGGGACUCUGGCUUCUUCGGCGCUCCCCCUGUGAUUCUGACGUGCAGCCUCGGCCAGAGCAGUGAGGCCUACUGUGUGCUGACACAGCUGGGAGUAGGGACACUCUCAGGACCGCCCCAGCCUCCUGGAACUCCGAGCACAACGGGGAAGACAGAUAAUGAUCAGAGAUCAGUGCACAAACAUUACCACAGACUGUGAUCAGCACUGAGAAGAAAAGAUACCUGUGCUUCAAGAAUGUGCACCUACACGAAGCGAUAGAAAAAGGCUGCGAGGAUAUACUCCAAAAUGUUAAAGGGGUAGUAACAUUGCAGGUGAUUCUGCCUGUUUCCUUUUCUUUUGCUUGUCUGUCCGUUCUAAUUUUUCUUUCUUUCUUUUUUUUUAGAAUGCCAUGCUUUAUAAUUGAGUGAAUUAAAAACACAAACAAACCCACAAUGAAUAGAGGGGUUGGAAAUCAUGUGUCCAAAGAUGAUUUAACGCCAGGAAAGAAAGGAAGGACACGCAAGAAACUGCUCACUGUGUUGGCUUCCGGGCAGGGGAGCCAGAGGCUGGGGAGGGAAAGAGCUUCGCUUCUCACUGGACACCCUUCGAACCUUUCCGACGUGUGUGUAUUCAAAAAACAAUAAAAAUAAAAUA